CGUAGCAGAGUGGUCAGAGCAUUGGUGUGUAAAGCCAAUGUCCCGGGUUCGAUUCCCGGCG
rnacentral:tRNA from 1 species